rnacentral:rRNA from 1 species
UACGUAGGGUGCAAGCGUUAAUCGGAAUUACUGGGCGUAAAGCGUGCGCAGGCGGUGAUGUAAGACAGAUGUGAAAUCCCCGGGCUUAACCUGGGAACUGCAUUUGUGACUGCAUCGCUGGAGUGCGGCAGAGGGGGAUGGAAUUCCGCGUGUAGCAGUGAAAUGCGUAGAUAUGCGGAGGAACACCGAUGGCGAAGGCAAUCCCCUGGGCCUGCACUGACGCUCAUGCGCGAAAGCGUGGGGAGCAAACAGG